UCACUGCUCCCUUCCUCGGCCGAGUGCCA
rnacentral:sRNA from 1 species